rnacentral:rRNA from 1 species
GACGGAGGAUGCAAGUGUUAUCCGGAAUCACUGGGCGUAAAGCGUCUGUAGGUGGUUCGAAAAGUCCACUGUUAAAAAUUGAAGCUUAACUUCAAAGAUGCCGUGGAAACUUUCAAACUAGAGCGUGGUAGGGGUAGAGGGAAUUUCCAGUGGAGCGGUGAAAUGCGUAGAUAUUGGAAAGACCACCGAUGGCGAAGGCACUCUACUGGGCCAUUACUGACACUGAGAGACGAAAGCUAGGGGAGCAAAUGGG